ACCUUUGUCUUGACGUAUCAAUCAUUGUUUGGUUAUGUGCAAGCUAUGGCAUAUAAAUGCAGCAUUCAGUGGGGUGAAUGAACUCUGUUUGAGCUUUUCUCUGCAUUCGUUUGAGGUCAUCUGUUUACAACCUAACACCUUGCUUCGAUGUAUUGACUUUAAUGCCUCUAAAUGUUUUGAUUCAUCUUCAGAAUUAGAAUGAAAUGAACCUUGUUUUCACAUUAAACAUCAAGGUACAUGUUCUAAUCUACACGUCACAUGAUGAUAAACACAAGCAGUUUCUGUAUCAGCACCGUUUCUAGACAGACAACAGAGGAGGUUCAUGAUGAUAAACACAAGCAGUAUCUGUAUCAGCACUGUUUCUAGACAGACAACAGAGGAGGUUCAUGAUGAUAAACAGACUAUUAGAAUUAUAAUAUAGGUUAACAUAACUGAAGAGGUGUAGUUUAACUUUCAUAAAAAAUGCUCAAAAUUAGUUGAAACUAUUCUUCACCUCCACAAAUGAAGUAUUAAAAACAAUAAAAUGUGUAAACAGAUUCAAGUUGUGAAAUCAUUUGGGAUCUGGUGUUACACUAAAAGGGCAUUAUCCUCUACGGGAUCGGUCUCCCCCUGUGAGACGGUUGAGCUAACGUAGGCUAAUGUGAUUAGCAUGAGGUUGAGCUAACGUAGGCUAAUGUGAUUAGCAUGAGGUUGAGCUAACGUAGGCUAAUGUGAUUAGCAUGAGGUUGAGCUAACGUAGGCUAAUGUGAUUAGCAUGAGGUUGUAAGUAACAAGAACAUUUCCCAGGACAUAGACAUAUCUGAUAUUGGCAGAAAGCUUAAAUUCUUGUUAAUCUAACUGCCCUCUCCAAUUUACAGUAGCUAUUACAGUGAAAUAAUACCAUUAGGAGGUCUCGAUACAACAUUUUGAACAGAAUGGUUCAUUGGAUCAGUCUUAAACUUUGCAAAUACACUGCUGCCAUUAAAUGGCCAAAGUCUAAAUUGUCUCAAACCUGAAAUAUUACAUUCUGGCCCAUCUCUGGUAUUUCAAAGAGAGGAAGAAAAAACAUAUGUUUUGUUUGUAUUAUCUUUUACCAGAUCUACUGUGUUAUAUUCUCCUACAUUCAUUUCACAUUUCCACAAACCUGAAAACGUCAUUUUAAAUGGUAUCAAGGAAAUGCGUAGCCCUACUUCAGGUCCUGAGCUACCCACAGUUAGAUUUGGAAAUGUCCUUAAGAGGGUAUCACUGUCUACAGACAGACUACCGUACUCACUCUGUUUACUACACUACAGUACUCACUCUGUUUACUACACUACCGUACACUCUGUACACUCUGUUUACUACACUACCGUUUAUCAAUGA
rnacentral:lncRNA from 13 species